GAUGAACGCUGGCGGCGUGCUUAACACAUGCAAGUCGAACGGAAAGGCCCAAGCUUGCUUGGGUCCUCGAGUGGCGAACGGGUGAGUAACACGUGGGUGAUCUGCCCUGCACUUCGGGAUAAGCCUGGGAAACUGGGUCUAAUACCGGAUAGGACCACAUUUUGGAUGGUGUGGUGGAAAGUUUUUCGGUGUGGGAUGAGCUCGCGGCCUAUCAGCUUGUUGGUGGGGUAAUGGCCUACCAAGGCGUCGACGGGUAGCCGGCCUGAGAGGGUGUACGGCCACAUUGGGACUGAGAUACGGCCCAGACUCCUACGGGAGGCAGCAGGGGGGAAUAUUGCACAAUGGGCGCAAGCCUGAUGCAGCGACGCCGCGUGGGGGAUGACGGCCUUCGGGUUGUAAACGCCUUUCGCUAGGGACGAAGCGUUAUGUGACGGUACCUGGAGAAGAAGCACCGGCUAACUACGUG
rnacentral:rRNA from 1 species